rnacentral:rRNA from 1 species
GGCGAACGGGUGAGUAACACGUGGGCAAUCUACCCUUAAAUCUGGGAUAAUCCUCCGAAAGGAGGUCUAAUACCGGAUAACACCGUCUGAAGGCAUCUUCGGACGGUCAAAGGCGGGGCAACCUGUCGUUUAGGGAUGAGCCCGCGCCCCAUUAGCUUGUUGGUGAGGUAACGGCUCACCAAGGCUUCGAUGGGUAGCCGGCCUGAGAGGGCGAUCGGCCACAUUGGGACUGAGAUACGGCCCAG